CUAUUUACCUGGCAGGGGAGAUACCAUGAUCACCAAGGUGGUUUUCCCAGGGUGAGGCUCACCCAUUGCACUCCGGGUGUGCUGACCCCUGUGCUGUCCCCAAAUGGGAAACUCGACUGUACAAUCUGUGGUAGUGGGGGACUGUGUUCGUGUUCAAA
ensembl:snRNA U1 U1 spliceosomal RNA